rnacentral:rRNA from 1 species
GGGUGGUAAUGCCGCAUGCUCCNCNCUGCUGCAUGGUGNNGNGGGAAAGGUUUUUCCGGUAUGGGAUGGGGUCGCGUCCUAUCAGGUAGUCGGCGGGGUGAUGGCCCACCGAGCCUAUGACGGGUAGCCGGCCUGAGAGGGCGACCGGCCACAUUGGGACUGAGAUACGGCCCAGACUCCUACGGGAGGCAGCAGUGGGGAAUAUUGCACAAUGGGCGCAAGCCUGAUGCAGCGACGCCGCGUGCGGGAUGGAGGCCUUCGGGUUGUAAACCGCUUUUAUCGGGGAGCAAGC